rfam:Rhodovulum sp. NI22 contig00008, whole genome shotgun sequence.
GCGGGUGGCUGGAUGGCCGCGGGGCGACCCGAGGAAAGUCCGGACUCCAUGAAGCAACGGUGCCGGGUAACGCCCGGCCGGGGAAACCCGAGGGAAAGCGCCACAGAGAACAAACCGCCCCGGAUCCGAUCCGGGGUAAGGGUGAAACGGUGGGGUAAGAGCCCACCGCGGGCCUGGCAACAGGGCCGGCACGGCAAGCCCCACCGGGAGCAAUGCCAAAUAGGGAUUUCGCGGGGGCACGCCCCCAGGGGGCUUCACCCCAGAGAUCCGGGUUGGCAGCUAAAGCGCGUCGGUAACGGCGAGCAUAGAGGAAUGGUCAUCCAGGGGGCGCAAGCCCCCGGACAGAAUCCGGCUUACAGGCCAUCCGCGCAU